UCUGUGCGCGAGUAUACGCCAUUAUCAUUCAGGCUCAGCUUGUUGUAUGUUGUAUCGGCGUCCAUACGGGACUCAUCAGGUGGGAUGGAACAGGCCGCCGACGCCGGGCGUUUGGCCAUAUCGAUGCAGGAGCUGGCUUUUGACCUGGAUGUUUUCCUCGUACGACACAGAAGAAAGAAGCCGUGGAUCUCAAUGUGGAGCGCACCUGCAGACCUGGAAUUCAACAGGGCACCAAUAUGCCCCUUCUGGAUGUUGAACAAAACGUGAGAGAUCUCACUUACAAAGAAGACUCCAAAAAGCACCGAACCCAAAGUUCUUACCUUCCGCGAUAAGUUUGUUUUCGACAAGAUGAAGGCUGCUACCAUGGGGACUGGAGCAAGAAGGUUCCCCUUGACGUGGCUUGUUCGGUGGACGAAGUCUCCUGCCUUGCCACCGAUCGAAAUCAUAUUACAAGCAUCUACAAUCACAUAGAACGGGACGUGUUGACCAAGCAGAUCGGCUUCAUACCCUUCUAUUCAGGGUGCAAUAGUUACAAAAUCGAGCCCCAGGAGUAUCCAUGGAUAGCGCUUAAGCUGAAUCACCUGCUAAAGCUGGAGGCAGCAGACAUUACCGCUAAAGAAGGCUUGCUGGACUGCUGUGACAAAAUUCUGACCUCCAGAUUCUUGCGUUUGACAAAAACAAACAGAAAACUGUCCUGCGACGUGACGAAAUUGGUUAGGUCGUCAUACAAGACGGCACCAAGAUCUUCUUCCAAGAAGGCCUGCAACGUGUGUUGCUCUUGAUCCAAGUCUGGUCGAUAGUCAAACGUACUGCCUCCGCAGGGCAUCGAUCUGUGCGUUCAUUGCAUCGGUCUGUCUCCAGCUCUAGCAUCAUUUGGGAGUCGAAGAAGGACGGCAAAAAGCGCUUUAAGGAUAUGACCGUACACGACACCGACGCUCUGAAGGCCGAGUAUCUGGUACACAAAGGCUUUAACGAUAUCCUUUAAUCAGGUCAGCAAUCCGAUCGAUUUUAACCGAAUGUUACUAAACUAGUCUAUUAAUCGAAGUCAUCGCCAUUCCAGAAUCUGCUGCAUAUCAAAAUAAAUCGUGUCCAGGUGCACAGACCAAAGUCUUGUGCUGCUUUUAGAGUCAUUACUUCUCUAUUUGAUUGAUUUGGGCUAAUGACUGGGCAACUGUUUAACUUUAAACUACUGUUUUUCCCAAAAAAUUUGUAUUUUAAGAAUCUAUCGCCGUCCAAAGAUUGCGGCUAAAGAGAUAGGCAAUAGUAUAGCAAAUAAGAUUUAGAUAGAAUGAGAUCGCACUGAAGUCUACCGAUUAUCCGCAGCAAUCAUACUAUCAAGCAAAUAGUUGCUAUCUUACAUCUUCAUGAUGCCCAACCUAGCCUCAUCCGCCCGCGCCAGUUCGUAACGGACGAAAGACGGCCCCACCGGCGACAGGAGCUUGGGAUCCAGCUUGUCAUCAGGCCGUUGCUUGAGGAUGUAGCUGUAAUGAUGAAGCCCACCACCACAUACCAAUCACAGGACAGAUCAAGGAUGCUGAAUCCUAAACGCUCAUGGGUGCACUGAACACACACACGAGAUGAACACUCCCGGCAUGCUCCGCAGAUGGCCCACAGAGUCCUGGACGAAAUUUGGCAUUAUUUUGUUCUGUUUGGACACUUGCCGCCUGGUUGGGAUAACAAUCGUGGGAGCAGGAGUGGAUCACGAUGCACGUGAAUCUGUUGAAAGCCGUUGGCGAUAUUCUUGUUGUAGAAAACAGGAAUAAUCACGUACAUUAAGGCACCACCGCCACCGUGCAGCCCAAGUUAAAGAAUGGUCAUAAUGGCAAUGGCCGAGAGCCGACUAGCCACAAGGAAAGUGUCAAUCGGUAUCCUUUUCAUUCUGUUCGUUAUCACCUGAAAAAACCUGGAAUUUAUAUUGCGCUUAUUAUUCACGUGGAGCCAAAUAUGAUCAAACUUUCCAAAUCUUUCGAAAAAUGCAAGCAUCAGGAAUAUAGCGUUUUUAGUUUAAGACAUAUGAGAGCAUUCAGAGUGCUAAUUUAAUUUUU